rnacentral:tRNA from 2 species
GCCCACGUAGCUCAGUUGGUAGAGCGCUUCCUUGGUAAGGAAGAGGUUCACCGGUUCGAUUCCGGUCGUGGGCUCCA